rnacentral:rRNA from 1 species
AUAAACCCGGGAAACUGGGUAUAAUACCCGAUAGUUCUGAGAUGCUGGAAUGCGUUUAGGACCAAAGCUCCGGCGACUGAGGAUGGGUCUGCGGCCUAUCAGGUAGUAGUGGGUGUAAUGUACCUACUAGCCUACGACGGGUACGGGUCGUGAGAGCGAGAGCCCGGAGAUGGAUUCUGAGACACGAAUCCAGGCCCUACGGGGCGCAGCAGGCGCGAAAACUCUACAAUGCAGGCAACUGCGAUAGGGGGACAUCGAGUGGCAUCCACCUUGGGUGCCUGUCCAACCGUCUAAAAAACGGUUGUUAGCAAGGGCCGGGUAAGACCGGUGCCAGCCGCCGCGGUAAUACCGGCGGCUCGAGUGGUGGCCGAUAUUAUUGAGUCUAAAGGGUCCGUAGCCGGCUUUGCAAGUCCCCUGGGAAAUCCAGCGGCUUAACCGUUGGGCUUUCAUGGGAUACUACAUUGCUUGGGACUGGGAGAGGUAGGAGGUACUCGGGGGGUAGGGGUGAAAUCCUGUGAUCCUCCGGGGACCACCGGUGGCGAAGGCGUCCUACCAGAACAGGUCCGACGGUGAGGGACGAAAGCUAGGGGCACGAACCGGAUUAGAUACCCGGGUAGUCCUAGCCGUAAACGAUGCCCGCUAGGUGUCACGACGGUCGUGAUCGUNGUGGUGCCGUAGGGAAGCCGCGAAGCGGGCCACUUGGGAAGUACGGCCGCAAGGCUGAAACUUAAA